UGGGGAAUAUUGCACAAUGGGCGCAAGCCUGAUGCAGCCAUGCCGCGUGUGUGAAGAAGGCCUUCGGGUUGUAAAGCACUUUCAGCGAGGAGGAAGGGUAGUGUGUUAAUAGCACAUUGCAUUGACGUUACUCGCAGAAGAAGCACCGGCUAACUCCGUGCCAGCAGCCGCGGUAAUACGGAGGGUGCAAGCGUUAAUCGGAAUUACUGGGCGUAAAGCGCACGCAGGCGGUUUGUUAAGUCAGAUGUGAAAUCCCCGCGCUUAACGUGGGAACUGCAUUUGAAACUGGCAAGCUAGAGUCUUGUAGAGGGGGGUAGAAUUCCAGGUGUAGCGGUGAAAUGCGUAGAGAUCUGGAGGAAUACCGGUGGCGAAGGCGGCCCCCCUGGACAAAGACUGACGCU
rnacentral:rRNA from 1 species